rnacentral:sRNA from 1 species
UGGACUUCAGCAUUGCCAAAGCCAAGCCA